rnacentral:lncRNA from 1 species
AGAUCUAGAACCGCUGCAGUGCCGAGCUUCCAGGGACGUGAAGCCGGAAAGCCAGGCGCCCUUCUUGACUGCGCCUAGGUGGAACUGGCCCUCCAGCAGCUUGAACGUAGCCUCUUUUCACACUGGUAGUUCCUGAACCUCUUGUGAAAUGAAAGAUGUUCCUCAUUCCAAGCUGAGGACGGAGAAAAGCCGUAAAGCUGACACUGGAGCUAGAAUGACUUGUCAGCCACCUUUGAGCAAGAACUUGCCUGGAGUCCAAAUGUAUGGCUAUUGAAGGAUAGUAAGCAGACAGCACUAAAAGUCAUCCAUUCGUUAUGGAUUUAGUCUUAAGACCCUCAUUUGAGAGAUGCCUUCCCUGUACCUGGAGGAAAGAAACAUCUUUAUCUCUGAAGACACAGGGCCACAGAGAAGAGUCUGAACAAACAGGCUUUACCAAUUUCCCCCAGUUGUUACCGUUAGAUCAGACCUUUGUCCAGUCAUAUCCUUCCACAAGUUGUCCACUCAUCAACCCUAAGCAUAAAAAUGCACAAGUUUCCUUGUUUGUUUGGGUCUUCAUUUCCAAGGGCUCCUAUGUCAUGUUAAACUUUUAAAUAAAUUUGCAUGCUUUUCUCUUGUGAA